AUAAUUUUCAAGAUCAGAUGAAGCGGGAGCUGGCCUACCGAGAAGAAAUGGUUCAGCAAUUACAAAUUAUCCCCUAUGCAGCAAGCUUGAUCAGGAAAGAAAAACUUGGCACACAUCUCAGCAAAAGCUAAAAGCAGGACCACAAGACCCUCUUGUCAGAGACUGCUCAUCGCUCUGAGUUUGGAUGUUUCUAAAGACUGAAAAUGGGAGGACCUCGGGCAAUUCAAAAAACACAACACAGAAGAAAUAAAAACGGCUCUCCUGACGACGUGGCCUCAAAGCUUUAUGGACCCACUGUAGACCUGAGAAAGCAGUAGCCAUUGAUUAAGAACCAAAAGAGAAAUUAAAAACCUGGAAACACGUCUUGCAUCUUUUUUUGAUGGUACCAAAGUUUGGUUGGGUGACUUUAGAAGGACUCCGGAGUGCGAUAUAAACUGUGGAAAGGCCGUGUGGCUGUCCAGAUCGACCCACAAGGCAUAGGAUCUCCCGGUGCUUCCGAUUCCAAUGCUAUGAAACGCAUUUGGGAUGUCAGCUCUUCUCCUUCUCCUUCGGCAGAACGAUUCUUCUGGAGAAUGAGGUCUAUAAGCAGACCUGGGGAGAGAGUCAUCCUUGGACAUAUUGAUGGAAACGCCCUUAGCCACAUCUGGCUCUUUCUAAAAAGAGACUGCAAAACACAACUUUUUCCAAGUUUUUCCCCAGUACUUUGCUUGCUGUACAAAUGAAGGUGAAUCAUUCUUCCGGAAAUAUUUUACAAUGUACGAUUGAGUGUAAUUAAAUAAAAAAAAAAAAAAAAAUAAAUAUAACCACUCAGACUAAAAACAAAACAAAAAAAAAAGAAAGGUAUUUAACUCUGUGGUAGUUUCUUUUAACAUUCAUGUGGAUUAAAACAAAGUCUAUAAUAAAAACGGAAAACUAUACGA